UUGGAGGGCAAGUCUGGUGCCAGUAGCCGCGGUAAUUCCAGCUCCAAUAGCGUAUAUUAAAGUUGUUGCAGUUAAAAAGCUCGUAGUUGAAUUUCGGGAUUUAUCUGUCGGUCGGGCUUUUGGGUCUGUACUGGCAUGAUGGAUUCCUACCUUCUGAAUAACCAGCAUGUCAUUAAUUUGGUGUGCUGGGGAAGCAGGACUGUUACCUUGAAAAAAUUAGAGUGCUUAAAGCAGGCUAUUGCCUGAAUACAUUAGCAUGGAAUAAUUAAAUAGGAUGGCAUGGUUCUAUUUUGUUGGUUUCUAGGAUCACUGUAAUGAUUAAUAGGGAUAGUUGGGGGCAUUAGUAUUCAAUUGUCAGAGGUGAAAUUCUUGGAUUUAUUGAAGACUAACUUCUGCGAAAGCAUUUGCCAAGGAUGUUUUCAUUAAUCAAGAAUGAAAGUUAGGGAUCGAAGAUGAUCAGAUACCGUCGUAGUCUUAACCAUAAACUAUGCCGACUAGGGAUCAGACGAUAGUUAAUUUUUAA
rnacentral:rRNA from 1 species